AAACCCACUGAUGGGCGGUGAACACGUCGCUCUUCUCUCCGGGUUGGCAGGAGGAGGCUAGAGGAAACAAUCCCAGCGCUUUCUGCCCGUCUCCGUGGCAGCCACACCGAGUGUGGGAGCACUGCA
rnacentral:snoRNA from 1 species